CAGUCGCCACGGGAAUACGUAGGUGGCGAGCGUUGUCCGGAAUUAUUGGGCGUAAAGGGAGCGCAGGCGGACAUAUAAGUCCAUCUUAAAAGUGCGGGGCUCAACCCCGUGAGGGGAUGGAAACUGUAUGCCUUGAGUGCAGGAGAGGAAAGCGGAAUUCCCAGUGUAGCGGUGAAAUGCGUAGAUAUUGGGAGGAACACCAGUGGCGAAGGCGGCUUUCUGGACUGUAACUGACGCUGAGGCUCGAAAGCCAGGGGAGCGAACGGGAUUAGAGACCCGAGUAGUCCCUGUCUCUUAUACC
rnacentral:rRNA from 1 species